rnacentral:lncRNA from 1 species
GAUUCCCCAAUGCCAGCCCUCCGAGCACCCCUGUCCCCUAUUUGUCAGGCUGGUUGCAGGCCAGCUUGUAACCCCUCAGGAUGGAGCCCAAACUGUUCUCCGAAGCCACUGUCGUCCCUCAGCUGUGCCAAAUCCGCCUUUGAUCUGCUAAUCCUGAGUUUAUAAGCCCUGCUGUUCGGGUUCAAGACAGAAUAGCACACAAGGAAACAAAAGGACCACACGAAUGUUCGAAUCCUCCUUGGAAUAAAUAUUCCGUGAUAAUAAAA